AGACAACAGGUGACAACAGAAGAGCAUACUUGUAAGAAGUCAUAGAACCACCUCUCGGCAUCAGUCGUCCUAGUUUUCCAGAAUCUUUCCAUUUAUCCAUUUUGUGCAUAUCAAAUGAACCAAUAGAUGCUUUAUUAUAUUCCAAUGGUAGCAGCAAACACUAAACUGUCUAAAACCGUGCAACUCACAUGAGCCCUUCCCUGAUGGCUUUCAGAAUGGUAGAAAAUAGAGAGAGGUCCCCAUCUCCAUUAUCGCGAUAUACGAAGUGAAAGCCCCAAGAAAUUUAGGGUUCAGAUU
rnacentral:misc_RNA from 1 species